AUUCUUAUUUGAAUAUAAUAAUGUACCUUAUAUAAUAUCAAGGUAAUCCCUUUAAAUUCAAUUUUCUACUACUAUCAUCAUUACCUUGGAAUAAUUGCUUUGGUAUUUAAUAUUACAUAAGUUAUAUUUGACAUCAUUAGCACGUGUGAAGAAGUCGAAAUGGAUUUAAUUUUAGAUAUUAAAAACAUGCGCAAUAUAAACAGUCAAGAGAGUCUGCGCUAAUCAAUCCUUGUCAUUUGAAUACAAAUUUCUACCAAGAUUGCGGUAUAAAUAAAAUUGUAACAUGGAAUGCCAUGAACGGUGAAGAAUUUCUUAGAAAAACUUUAUUAUUUUCUAUUGUUUAUAAUCCAAGAUAUGCAGUUUUUUGUAGUCAACAUGACUUGUCUCAAUUCCUAAAUAUUAUGUUUAUUUAGGCAUAAUUUUGAAGAAUUUUUGCUUUGUUUUUUUUAUUGCACAAAAAAUCAGAUUAGUUAAUUAUUAAUAAGAAUUAACUAAUAAUUAUUACAGAGGAAAAAGUCAAAAAAAAUAUCAAUACUCACAUCUGAUUGAAAAGAAAUGAAAAUCAAUUCAAAGAAUUCAGUCAAGAAGUCAAUAAUCAUCUUAUUGAUGUACGAUCGUUAUUCACAAAAUAAAUACACUGCAGUAGAAAGAUAAGGUCAACGCUCUAUUAUACUUUCUAACUAAACCGUUUCAACUUGUCCUCCCUUGAUUCGUGCUGAGUGUCGAUUGACAAUAAUUGUGCGGAUGUACAACAUUUACGAGAAUGAAAUACCAUCGCAAAAGAGAGUCAGUAUUGUCUACGUUCAACUGUUACUUAAAAUUUAUCAUAAUAAAUCUAAUAAAUGGCUCGUAUAUGUCUCAUCAAACAUAACAUCUAGAUAACAUAAAUCACAAAAUUU